CGGGCUUGGUAACUUAGGUGAGAAUAGGAGUUAAGGAAGGCAGGCUUAGGUGCCCGGGUUCGAAGUCUUAUCAGCCGUGGGUCAAAGCAGUAUUUACUAAUGAGUAGUCGAACGUACCUUUCCUCUACCAGUUGCCCGUGCCUUCGUCCGUGGUUGAUGCACAUGUGUCUACGAUUCCUUGGUCAGUUGCUCGUACCUACUCGACCCACCAGUUGACCAACCUUAUCCGAUUAUUCUGUUAUGAUUAUAGUCAACUUCUUAUUAUUUGCUUAGCUAAAUGAGAUGAAAAAGGUGGAAAUACAUCGAUGCGUAACACAAGCUAUUUUAUUACUUAUCCUAUUGACUACAAAUACCCGGACAGGUUUGAUGAUCUAUCCCUUCUCCGAGCAGAGAUAUAGGAUGCAAGUAAACAGUAGCAGACUAAUACAUAUCAUAUCAAUAUCCUACGAGAAAACUAAUAUCAAUGCGUAUCAGUACAAUCAAUACAAGCAAACAGAAUCAUUAAUUUCAUAAAUACAGAAGAAGUAAACACGGCAAGCAACGUAUGGACAAGUAACUAAGCGACGUAUGGACAAGACCAAACAAACCGAUAAUCAACAUCGCGGGGGUCCUCAAAGCCUUAUUUCUUUGACUUUCUGAAUGGUUCCCUGGUUGCUCUAGUAGGUGUGUUUGUGUCUCGCUAACCCCAACAACAAGUGGGCCCGUGAGCUGCAAAUAAUUCUCAUUCAAAAGCAGCAUGAAAUAACUCCUUACUUCUCUCAUUUAAAAGCAGCAUGAAAUAACAACUCAAAUAUCUUUGAAAAACCCUUAUUUUGAGUCUCAUUUGGGCUGUUAUCUUUCUUUUCAACCUACCUCUACUGUGUUUAAAACUGACACAGCCUUCUUUCACUCUGCCCUGCCCUAUACUAGCUAGCAGAUUUACACCACUACCGGAAAGAAUUGAUACUAUGCUGAUAAUAACGAAAAUAUGGCUAAAGAACUCAACUCGGACUGGGAACUCCCAAGCGAACUCUCAGUGUAUUAACUCUUACGUCCCUAACUCAUAUUCGUGCUGCCCUGUCGAUUAGUCUGUAACUACCAACUACGAAACAGCUAUUCCUGUCUUUUCGCCUACCUUUGCUAUCUUAUUCUACAGCCGCCAAAAGCAGAUAUCAGAACCGACACUACUAAGGGAAAGAGACUGAAUCCAAUGCUCAAACUAUCCUCUAACUAUUGCUUAUAGAGCCAUAAAACACUCAGCCUUCAACCGGUGCCAGCAAGCCCUACUACUUUAUACAACUAUUCGAACUUACAUUACUACCUUUUAGUCUUGCUUGACUUUCCCCCGUUCUGUAGUUCCCACCCCUAACUCCAGGUAAGAUCUAUUGCAUCUAGUAUAUCUAUUGCAUCUAGUAUAAUCGUAUUGAAACCAAAACUCAGUAGUACUAGAAGAAAGUCACUUGGGCGGUAUAAGAUCAAAGUAGAGACAAAGGGAAUCAAACAAAAGUCAAUCAAAGAGUAGGUAUCGGAUCGGAGUGAAUCAAACCCAUGAGUAGAAGAACAGGACCAGGGCUCACAAGACUAAUGCCGUAUGGGCUUACUCCAAACAGGUAAUUCAGCUGCUCACUGCAGAACUCAACUUAAGAAAACAAGGCUCUACAUAUCAAUACGAAAGAAUGAAACCACAACCUAUAAGAAUGACCUUACUAACCCAAUAGUCCACGCCCCCUACUUGUUUUCUAUUCUGGCUAUCCAUACCUUUUCUUAUGAGUUUUUGAAUUAGUCCCUUAUACGAUUAUUCCGACUAAUCGCUUAAGUACAGAAUCAAACAAAGAGCUAUCAGACUCAUAGUAGUCGUGCACUUAACGCAAAAUGCUACAUGUGCUAAGGUGUAUUCGGAGUAGUGGUAGUAAGCACAAGUGAAUCAAACCCAUGAGUAGAAGAAAUCAAUCCCGCAAUAAAGGGCAAGGUUAGAUGGUAAAUAAGAAUGCAUGGGCUCAGAAAUAGGCUAGUAUAAGAACAAUAGUCCUAUAGCUGGUGUACACGUCCAGCCCCUAUAACAUCAACUUCUCCCGUCAGUUAUUACUUGAGAGUUUAGAGCGCCUGUCGAAGAGUUCCUCGGAUUCCUUGGAUUCUUAUUGUAUGGAUGCUCUAAGACUAAUAGCAAUAGUGGUAAGAUGUAGUGUAUCCAUUAAUAGUCUAUUAGUAGUACGAUCUAGGCCAUAAACUAUGCUACUACGGCAUACUCCGUAGAGAGGCAAACUUGCUCAGAUAGGAAAGAAUUGCACGGGUAAGUAAAAGCUCCGUUAUGUAAUCAUACCCUUUAGUACAAACUCAUUACUGCCUUGCUCAACUUGCCCUUUGCUUACUUUCAUGCUUUAACUACUGCCAGCAGCUGACGCUGCCCUCGAUCUAGGGCUAAGUUAAUGCUCCCCUAUUCCCGCCCCCAACAAUACGAAUGAAACACAAGAAAGGGAACCAACCCUCCAAGUAAGAUGAACUACCUACCCGAUAAGACCUGCUCUCUACUGGCUACUAGCCUAUCCUGCCUUGCUUCCAAACUGAUGUUGCUGUUAACAGAACAGGACUUUACUCAAUGCAAAAAGACAAGUCACUACGAUGUUACUCCCAACUCGAAACAUAGGAUCUAACUUCGGCUUCUCAGAAUAGAGAGCUGCCCCAACACAGACUAUAUCUAUACCAGCAAUAAGAAUUGGACUCAUCGGGAACAUAAUCCAACUCGGGACAGGGAAGCUAAUGAGAACUUUAGCGCUAAGAACUCGGGUUGUAACCAGUGCUUUAAAGAUUGGAAUCAAUAAGCGGGAAGCCAACUACUAAUCAAGAGAAUAAACCAAAGAAAUAGGACUUCCUAU
rnacentral:lncRNA from 1 species